rnacentral:rRNA from 1 species
CCUACGGGUGGCAGCAGUGGGGAAUAUUGGGCAAUGGAGGAAACUCUGACCCAGCAACGCCGCGUAAAUGAUGAAGGUCUUCGGAUUGUAAAGUUCUUUUCUCAGGGACGAAGAAAGUGACGGUACCUUACGAAUAAGCCACGGCUAACUACGUGCCAGCAGCCGCGGUAAUACGUAGGUGGCAAGCGUUGUCCGGAUUUACUGGGUGUAAAGGGCGUGCAGGCGGAGAGACAAGUCAGAUGUGAAAUCCACGGGCUCAACCCGUGAACUGCAUUUGAAACUGUUUGCCUUGAGUGUCGGAGAGGUAGUCGGAAUUCCUAGUGUAGCGGUGAAAUGCGUAGAUAUUAGGAAGAACACCAGUGGCGAAGGCGGAUUGCUGGACGGUAACUGACGGUGAGGCGCGAAAGCGUGGGGAGCAAACAGGAUUAGAUACCCCGGUAGUC